rnacentral:rRNA from 1 species
AGAGUUUGAUUCUGGCUCAGGAUGAACGCUAGCUACAGGCUUAACACAUGCAAGUCGAGGGGCAGCAUGGGAUUAGCUUGCUAAUCCUGAUGGCGACCGGCGCACGGGUGAGUAACGCGUAUCCAACCUUCCCCCUGCUCAGGGAUAGCCCGGUGAAAACCGGAUUAAUACCUGAUGGUUUCAUUUGACGGCAUCAGAUGAUGAAUAAAGAAAUUCGGCAAGGGAUGGGGAUGCGUCUGAUUAGCUUGUUGGCGGGGUAACGGCCCACCAAGGCGACGAUCAGUAGGGGUUCUGAGAGGAAGGUCCCCCCACAUUGGAACUGAGACACGGUCCAAACUCCUACGGGAGGCAGCAGUGAGGAAUAUUGGUCAAUGGGCGCGAGCCUGAACCAGCCAAGUAGCGUGCAGGAAGACGGCCCUAUGGGUUGUAAACUGCUUUUGUGCGGGAAUAAAGUCAGGGAUGUGUCCCUGUUUGCAUGUACCGCAAGAAUAAGGACCGGCUAAUUCCGUGCCAGCCGCCGC